UACGUAUUGGGCGAGCGUUGUCCGGAUUUAUUGGGCGUAAAGAGCGUGUAGGCGGCCAGGUAGGUCUGCUGUGAAAACUCGAGGCUCAACCUCGAGACGUCGGCGGAAACCAUCUGGCUAGAGUCCGGAAGAGGAGAGUGGAAUUCCUGGUGUAGCGGUGAAAUGCGCAGAUAUCAGGAAGAACACCCGUGGCGAAGGCGGCUCUCUGGGACGGUACUGACGCUGAGACGCGAAAGCGUGGGGAGCGAACAGG
rnacentral:rRNA from 1 species